GUCGUAACAAGGUUCCCGUAGGUGAACCUGCGGAAGGAUCAUUAUUGAAUAAACCUGGUGGGUUGUCGCUGGUUCUUCGGGACAUGUGCACGCUCACCUUGCUUUAUCCAUCCACCUGUGCACAAUUUGUAGUCUUAGUGAGAGAUGAGAGUGGUUGACCCUGCUUCUCGACAUUUGUCGGAUUUGAAGAAUGUUGUGUGAAAGCAUAGCUAUCUUUAACAUUGGGAUCCAGUCAUGACUUGCUCACAAGUCUAUGUGUCUUCAUAAACUACAUAACAUGUCGCAGAAUGUAUUCAUGGGCCUUUGUGCCUAUAAAAAACUAUAUACAACUUUCAGCAACGGAUCUCUUGGCUCUCGCAUCGAUGAAGAACGCAGCGAAAUGCGAUAAGUAAUGUGAAUUGCAGAAUUCAGUGAAUCAUCGAAUCUUUGAACGCACCUUGCGCUCCUUGGUAUUCCGAGGAGCAUGCCUGUUUGAGUGUCAUUAAAUUCUCAACCCAUUCAGCUUUGUUAAGUUGGUAUGUGGCUUGGAUGUGGGGGUUUUGUGCAGGUCUCGAUAGAGGUCAGCUCCCCUGAAAUGCAUUAGCGGAACGGUUUGCGAUCUGUCACUGGUGUGAUAAUUAUCUACGCCGAAGAUGAUGAACGCUCUAUCUGUUCAGCUUACAACGGUCCUCUAU
rnacentral:rRNA from 1 species